GAUGAACGCUAGCGACAGGCCUAACACAUGCAAGUCGAGGGGCAGCAUAAAGGUAGCAAUACUUUGGUGGCGACCGGCGCACGGGUGAGUAACACGUAUGCAACCUACCUGUAAGAGGGGAAUAACCCGGAGAAAUUCGGACUAAUACCGCAUAAUACUGAUUAUCUGCAUGGAUUGAUCAGUUAAACAUUUAUGGCUUACAGAUGGGCAUGCGUAUGAUUAGAUAGUUGGUAGGGUAACGGCCUACCAAGUCAACGAUCAUUAGGGGUUCUGAGAGGAAGGUCCCCCACACUGGUACUGAGACACGGACCAGACUCCUACGGGAGGCAGCAGUGAGGAAUAUUGGUCAACGGGCGAGAGCCUGAACCAGCCAAGUCGCGUGAAGGAAGAAGGUUCUAUGGAUUGUAAACUUCCUUUGUAAGGGAAUAAAAAGAGUUACGUGUAACUUAUUGUAUGUACUUUACGAAUAAGGAUCGGCUAACUCCGUGCCAGCAGCCGCCGUAA
rnacentral:rRNA from 1 species